rnacentral:lncRNA from 1 species
UCCGGAUCAAUCACCAUCCUCAUGAUGAUUCUAUAAUCGAGAGCAUUUAGAAAUUAAAUAUAUGUCUCUAAUUCUCAACUCUUUGAGAAUAUGUAUCGAAAGUUAAUUUCAUAGAUGAUUCAAAGAUACAUCACACUUGAUGAAGAAUAAAUUUGUCCUUUUAUUGAUCAAAUUAAUAUAUAAAGUAUAAAAUUAUAUCUCAAAUUUAUUAUAAUAUAUC